CGCCUCAGACAACGCUGCCUGCCCACUGCGCGCGGCUCGUUUGGUUUUUAUUUGUUUUUAAUGUGUUUUGGAUAGGGAGGCGUCCUGAUCAGAAUCUUAGAAAAAGGCAGGGGAAGGAAAUGCACCCUCUACCGCCCCCUUUGCAGACCUCGUAAGUGCCGUGUGGAGGUAGUUCGGGGAGCGGGCCGGGCGGCGAGGUGAGUGGACAGGGACGGGGGCUGAAAGGAGGGACUCCCGGCCUCUCUGCUCCCCUCCCGGCCUCCCUCUCCUCCACCUGCCCCGGGAACCCCAGUUCUUCCGAAAUUGCCAAAGCUGAGAGGGAAGGGCGGCUUUGCUGCAGAAGAAGCUACUGCCGCGAUCUUGCUUUGCAUUUCUGCGAGUGAACAAAGCUAUCGUCCUCCAGCAGCGACCUGAACGGAGACUCCAGCCCGGGAACAAGCGGGCCCGGCCCUGAGCGCGGGGCUGGGUCUGCUGCGCGCCAGGAGGCUGACUAGCAAGCGGGUCAGUGCCCCUCGGCCUGCCGUCCCAUCCGCCCCGCCCCAGCCGAUGCUCUGUCUGAGCUCGAAGAAAGAACUGAAAGAGAAGAAAUAAGCUACGAAGGAAAGGAAAAAGAUAAGAUAAGCCUGCAUACAUACAUUUGCAUAAAAACAAAGGAAAGAAUAAAAGGCAAAAACAAAAGGUUGGUGGGAGAGAGAGGAAAAUAUAAGUAUCUUUUACUCUACUUCUAACUCUAUUUAGUAUGUGAAGAAGUGGUUAUAGGAGAUACAUGAAACCCAGUAAAAUAUUUAAAAAUCCUAAAAUGAAGGUAAUUGAUCUAAGAUGAUAAGUAAAUAUAAGGAGGCAG
rnacentral:lncRNA from 1 species